UACGUAGGGUGCAAGCGUUGCCCGGAUUUAUUGGGCGUAAAGAGCUCGUAGGCGGUCUGUCGCGUCGGCUGUGAAAACCCGGGGCUCAACCCCGGGCCUGCAGUCGAUACGGGCAGACUAGAGUGCGGUAGGGGAGACUGGAAUUCCUGGUGUAGCGGUGAAAUGCUCAGAUAUCAGGAGGAACACCGGUGGCGAAGGCGGGUCUCUGGGCCGUAACUGACGCUGAGGAGCGAAAGCGUGGGGAGCGAACAGG
rnacentral:rRNA from 1 species